GAUGAAGAACGCAGCGAAAUGCGAUAAGUAAUGUGAAUUGCAGAAUUCAGUGAAUCAUCGAAUCUUUGAACGCACCUUGCGCCCUUUGGCCAUUCCGAAGGGCAUGCCUGUUUGAGUAUCAUGAACACCUCAACUCUUUAUGGUUUUCCAUGAUGAGCUUGGACUUUGGGGGUUUUGCUGGCCUAUGGUCGGCUCCUCUAAAAUAAAUCAGCUUACCAGUGUUUGGUGGGUAUCAUGGGUGUGAUAACUAUCUACGCUUGUGGUUUUUCCGCCAGGUAACCUUCGACAGCGGAGGUUCACUGGAGCUCAUAGAUGUCUCUCCUCAGCGAGGACAGCCCUUUGAAUGUUUGAUCUCAAAUCAGGUAGGACUACCCGCUGAACUUAAGCAUAUCAAUAAGCGGAGGA
rnacentral:misc_RNA from 1 species